rnacentral:rRNA from 1 species
UACGAAGGGGGCUAGCGUUGUUCGGAAUUACUGGGCGUAAAGGGCGCGUAGGCGGCGUGUCAAGUCAGGCGUGAAAGCCCCGGGCUCAACCUGGGAACCGCGCUUGAGACUGGCAUGCUCGAGUUCGGGAGAGGAUGGUGGAAUUCCCAGUGUAGAGGUGAAAUUCGUAGAUAUUGGGAAGAACACCGAUGGCGAAGGCAGCCAUCUGGACCGACACUGACGCUGAGGCGCGAAAAGCGUGGGUACGCAAACGAGGAA